rnacentral:rRNA from 1 species
AUGUCGCUACUGCAGUUGGACAAUCCUCAGCUCCAGGUACAACAACCCACCAUGAGGGAUGUCCCUAAAACCAUUGGCACCCAAACUCAGGAAAAGAAGAAUAGGAAGAAGCGAGCUUGUCUUCGAAAACCCGAGGACACAAGGUUGAAGAAGCUCAAGGGGUAUCACAUAAGAUAUGAAGACUUCCGCGAGGCAAUGAAACCACGUGGGUUCGUUAACACCCAUACAAUGGAGCUCUACAUUCGACAAUUCAACCUUGAACAAUCAAUUCAGACUUGUGGCUUCGCUCUUCCAACCAAAUAUGCAUUCUCACAAUCUUUGACCGCUAAACUACUUGUUCCUGAGGACCAAUUCAUUGCAUCCAAGUGCCUUCGUGAAUUCGACACUGCAUACCAGGAUGGCUCGCUCAAAACAAAGGAUCUCUCAUAUGGUUCUCACCAUGAUAAUUUGCAGCUAUACUUCGCCAUCCCCCCAAAACAACAUUGGAUCGUGUGCUGCAUCAACCUUCUAUACAAACAGUCAACAUUUGUGACUCAGGCAGGAAGCUCAAAAAUGAUGAGGCAUAUGAGAUAUCCAACAAUCUGGUUACCAAUUUUGUGA